GGAUACCGCUUAGCUGCCACAACUUAUUGUUCGCCUUUUGAGCUUUCUUCGACAGCUCUCUACAGAGAUCAGAGGUCGUGUUCAGCCUACGGUGAGAAGACAAGAUAUUAUAACGGAUGAUUGAUACCUGUACGAAGUCAUAACUUCAGGAUCUCUCAGGAGUCUCUGCCUCCGCAAGACAUUGACGAUCAGAAAAUAAAGCACUUGCCAAAGAGUAUAAACCACCAAGGGGAUGAGAAACAGCCAUGUGAAAAGGUAAGGCUUAUCAUCCACGUAAGGCCAUGAAACCCUACGAGCAGUGCCAACAGGGUGCAUAGCUGCGAA
rnacentral:lncRNA from 1 species